rnacentral:rRNA from 1 species
CUGGCGGCAGGCCUAACACAUGCAAGUCGAGCGCACUCUUCGGAGUGAGCGGCGGACGGGUUAGUAACGCGUGGGAACAUACCCUUUUCUACGGAAUAGCCUCGGGAAACUGAGAGUAAUACCGUAUACGCCCUUUUGGGGAAAGAUUUAUCGGUGAAGGAUUGGCCCGCGUUUGAUUAGAUAGUUGGUGGGGUAAUGGCCUACCAAGUCUACGAUCUAUAGCUGGUUUGAGAGGAUGAUCAGCAACACUGGGACUGAGACACGGCCCAGACUUCUACGGAAGGCAGCAGUGGGGAAUCUUGGACAAUGGGCGCAAGCCUGAUCCAGCCAUGCCGCGUGAGUGAUGAAGGCCUUAGGGUCGUAAAGCUCUUUCACCAGGGAUGAUAAUGACAGUACCUGGAAAAGAAACCCCGGCUAACUCCGUGCCAGCAGCCGCGGUAAUACGGAGGGGGUUAGCGUUGUUCGGAAUUACUGGGCGUAAAGCGUACGUAGGCGGAUUGGAAAGUAUGGGGUGAAAUCCCAGGGCUCAACCCUGGAACUGCCCUGUAAACUAUCAGUCUAGAGUUCGAGAGAGGUGAGUGGAAUUCCAAGUGUAGAGGUGAAAUUCGUAGAUAUUUGGAGGAACACCAGUGGCGAAGGCGGCUCACUGGCUCGAUACUGACGCUGAGGUACGAAAGUGUGGGGAGCAAACAGGAUUAGAUACCCUGGUAGUCCACACCGUAAACGAUGAAUGCCAGACGUCGGGGGGCUUGCCCUUCGGUGUCACACCUAACGGAUUAAGCAUUCCGCCUGGGGAGUACGGUCGCAAGAUUAAAACUCAAGGGAAUUGACGGGGGCCCGCACAAGCG